GAUGAAGAACGUAGCGAAAUGCGAUACUUGGUGUGAAUUGCAGAAUCCCGUGAACCAUCGAGUCUUUGAACGCAAGUUGCGCCCGAAGCCUCGGCUAAGGGCACGUCUGCCUGGGCGUCACGCAUCGCGUCUCCCCCAAACCGCCAAGGCGGAGGGGAAGGAAGAUGGCUUCCCGUGCCUCACCCGGCGCGGUUGGCCUAAAUUUGGAGCCCGCGGCACUUAGCUCUCGCGGCGAUAGGUGGUGAACAAGGCCUUGGCCGUGCAAACAACCCGCUGCGAAGCUCUAUGUCACGUGCGCUCGUCGGACCCUUUGAAGUUGCCUUCGGUGACUUAAAACCUUUGCGACCCCAGGUCAGGCGGGGCUACCCGCUGAAUUUAAGCAUAUCAAUAGGA
rnacentral:misc_RNA from 1 species